UACGUAGGGGGCAAGCGUUGUCCGGAAUUAUUGGGCGUAAAGCGCGCGCAGGCGGUCCUUUAAGUCUGGUGUUUAAGCCCGGGGCUCAACCCCGGUUCGCAUCGGAAACUGGAUGACUUGAGUGUAGGAGGAGGAAAGUGGAAUUCCACGUGUAGCGGUGAAAUGCGUAGAUAUCGGGAGGAACACCAGUGGCGAAGGCGGCUCACUGGCCCGACUACGUGACGCUGAGGCACGAAAGCGUGGGGAGCAAACAG
rnacentral:rRNA from 1 species